CCGAAUCGUGCUCAACUCAAACAGUCCUGUGACUCCUCACAAAGACUACCCUGGUCAAAGUUUUGCUAAAUUAAAACAUGACUGUACACAGCUCCUAAACUGGAGUGGUCAAUCCCAUCUUGACACACGCACCGACAAGUCAAGUACUUGACUACACCCAGCAGCCUUCCAUCACUGAAUUAGAAAUUCAGAUAGUCCAGUGCCUAAGUGCAGUGAGUUGCUUGCAAGUCACCAUGGCGGUCUCUGGUCGGAGGGAUAUUUAUACCCAU
rnacentral:lncRNA from 1 species